rnacentral:rRNA from 1 species
UACAGAGGUCUCAAGCGUUGUUCGGAUUCAUUGGGCGUAAAGGGUGCGUAGGUGGCGGGGCAAGUCUGGUGUGAAAUCUCGGGGCUCAACCCCGAAACUGCACUGGAUACUGCCUUGCUCGAGUACUGGAGAGGAGAUUGGAAUUUACGGUGUAGCAGUGAAAUGCGUAGAUAUCGUAAGGAAGACCAGUGGCGAAGGCGAAUCUCUGGACAGUUACUGACACUGAGGCACGAAGGCCAGGGGAGCAAACGGG